CAGUGUUAACACUGCGUCUUAUUUAUCGCAAGUAAUUUCUUUGUGGACAGUGGCAGUCUUAAUGGUAAAAUUUAUGUGACAGUCGGACUUUAGUGACAUAGAAAAGUGUGAAUGGUUGUUACCAUGAUGCAGAGAAGAUGCUUCAGCCUUUUCCUUACUGGAGAGAAAUGAUUCUGGUGUGAUUUUGGGAGCCACUGAUGGAUGGCAAGCUGAUCGUGCUUUUCUAGGAUGUUCCUUAUGUUUAUUGCUGGCUGUGAAAACGAGGACUGAAUGUUUCUGUAUGGCAUUACAUUUUUUCUGCAUGUUAUACUUAGUCUGGUGUCAGUAAUUUUAAGAAGGUGAUUUGUUCUCAUGUACUGAGAACAAAUAUGCAAAACCUUGUGAUUUCUUUUUAAAGCUUUGGUUCAUCAAGGAACAUAAAUUCGUGCCUGAUUUCAAAUGUAUCAGCUGUUCUGUGACUGUCAUUCACAUCAUAUUUUUGAUGUCCAGCAUAUACUUAGUCCUUUGUGAGCCCUUCAGCAGUUUCAGCUGGUUAGGGACAAGAUUAUGGCAGAACAAAUUACUCCUUUCCCGGUGGCAGAGGACGGGUUUGGUACCAUUUCACAUGGGAAAGCCGGAAAAAGGAAGAGAUUAACGUCUGUUAGGUCACAGAUUCACUUGGCAGGGAAGGAUGAACCACAGGGACCUUCUUGGGAUCGUGCCAGCAGCUGUGAGAGUUACAGCUAUGCACCUUCUCAUGCAGACCGUUUGUAACCUGGGGAUUUGCACACCGUAACGAAGCCCCUGCUUUGCCCAGCACAGUGUGACACCUGCAGCACUUGGACCUGCGUGUGCUGCGGAGGGAUGGCUCCCGACAGCUCUGCUCCGCUGGCUCUGCAGAACGACUUCUCUGAAGGGUGUGAAAGCUGCGGCUCGCUGUGCUCGAGCAGAUGGCAGUGUUUCUGAGCUGGCCUGUUUCUGGAGGCGGUGGUGGUAGGAAACCAAACCAUUAAACGCAGCCGCAGCAAACUGCUGAGUCAAGGCUGGGGCAAUCACGUGAAAUGCCAAAACCAGCAGCGGUGGUGGGGCCGCGCAGGGCGGGUUGCUGCAGCCACAGCGGGCUUCCUGCAGGAGCGCGCUGGAGCCUGGUGUUGCGACACAGCAGGAGCAACUCAGUCCCAGCCGAGCAGGAAGAAGCCCAGGCACAGGCGGCGGUAGUUCGUCACAAGCCUGUUGCACAAACACCGCUCGCGUACGUGCUGUUUGGUUUGAUCGCACGCUGGGUGCCUGGCGAGGUGGCAGCGGGGCAGGAGCUGGUACAGCCGGUGCUCCUUCGCUGACCCACACGGGGACAGCAGCCCGUGCUGCAAGGUGCAGGGUUGGGGUAGGUUGCUGCGCUCAGCAGCGUUUCCAGCUGCUGCUGCGUGCGACGUGUAUCACGGCACUCAGCAGGUGGGUUACCAUGUGGCAGCUGAUGAGAUUUAUGGGUUUCGUGAGUCAUGCCAAACUACUUCUAGAUGUAGAUCUGUUUAACGUGGGAAAAAAAAAAUCGUUUCACUGACA